rnacentral:rRNA from 1 species
CCUACGGGGGGCUGCAGUGAGGAAUAUUGGUCAAUGGGCGUAAGCCUGAACCAGCCAAGUCGCGUGCGGGAUGAAGGUUCUAUGGAUCGUAAACCUCUUUUAUAAGGGAAUAAAGUGCGGGACGUGUCCCGUUUUGUAUGUACCUUAUGAAUAAGGAUCGGCUAACUCCGUGCCAGCAGCCGCGGUAAUACGGAGGAUCCGAGCGUUAUCCGGAUUUAUAGGGUUUAAAGGGUGCGUAGGCGGCCUUUUAUGUCAGCGGUGAAAGUCUGGGGCUCAACCUCGCUCCGCCGUUGAAACUGGCGUUCUUGAGUGGGCGAGAAGUAUGCGGAAUGCGUGGUGUAGCGGUGAAAUGCAUAGAUAUCACGCAGAACUCCGAUUGCGAAGGCAGCAUACCGGCGCCCAACUGACGCUGAAGCACGAAAGCGUGGGUAUCGAACAGGAUUAGAUACCCCUGUAGUC